GACGAACCGAGCGAACGUUGUUCGGAAUCACUGGGCUUAAAGGGAGCGUAGGCGGGCUAUCAAGUCUGGGGUGAAAUGCCGCGGCUCAACCGUGGAACUGCCUUAGAUACUGACGGCCUCGAGGGAGAUAGGGGCAUGCGGAACUGUAGGUGGAGCGGUGAAAUGCGUUGAUAUCUACAGGAACUCCGGUGGCGAAAGCGGCGUGCUGGAUCUCUUCUGACGCUGAGGCUCGAAAGCUAGGGGAGCAAACGGG
rnacentral:rRNA from 1 species